rnacentral:rRNA from 1 species
GACGAACGCUGGCGGCGUGCUUAACACAUGCAAGUCGAACGGAAAGGCCCUGCUUUUGUGGGGUGCUCGAGUGGCGAACGUGUGAGUAACACGUGAGUAACCUGCCCUUGACUUUGGGAUAACUUCAGGAAACUGGGGCUAAUACCGGAUAGGAGCUCCUGCUGCAUGGUGGGGGUUGGAAAGUUUCGGCGGUUGGGGAUGGACUCGCGGCUUAUCAGCUUGUUGGUGGGGUAGUGGCUUACCAAGGCUUUGACGGGUAGCCGGCCUGAGAGGGUGACCGGCCACAUUGGGACUGAGAUACGGCCCAGACUCCUACGGGAGGCAGCAGUGGGGAAUAUUGCACAAUGGGCGGAAGCCUGAUGCAGCAACGCCGCGUGCGGGAUGACGGCCUUCGGGUUGUAAACCGCUUUCGCCUGUGACGGAGCGUGAGUGACGGUAAUGGGUAAAGAAGCACCGGCUAACUACGUG